rnacentral:antisense_RNA from 3 species
CUUGAGGGAGCCCAGCCACAGCGGCCGUCCGUCGUUCCGUUCCCGGCCGUAGGUGUCGAGGAGGGCCUGGGCUUC